rnacentral:rRNA from 1 species
CUACGGGCCGCUCCAGUGGGGAAUAUUGCACAAUGGGGGAAACCCUGAUGCAGCAACGCCGCGUGAGUGAUGAAGGCUUUCGAGUCGUAAAACUCUUUUCUUGAGGAAGAAUAUUGACGGUACUCAAGGAAUAAGCCCCGGCUAAUUACGUGCCAGCAGCCGCGGUAAUACGUAAGGGGCAAGCGUUAUCCGGAAUCACUGGGCGUAAAGGGUGCGUAGGUGGUCUUGUAAGUCAGAAGGGAAAGGCUAUGGCUCAACCAUAGUAAGCUUUUGAAACUGCAGGACUUGAGUGCAGGAGAGGAAAGUGGAAUUCCUAGUGUAGCGGUGAAAUGCGUAGAUAUUAGGAGGAACACCAGUGGCGAAGGCGACUUUCUGGACUGUUACUGACACUGAGGCACGAAAGCGUGGGGAGCGAACAGGAUUAGAUACCCUCGUAGUC